CGCCGAGUGGCGCGCUGCUCGCAGUACCGCGACAACCCUCGAGCUAAAAGCAUCGUGUCGAUGCUGUCGGUGACCCGUGCGUGAAUCGUGUCGUGAAACGUGAGAACCUCCUUCCCCUUUUCGUUCUCGUGAUCCGACCAAAUUCGUACGCAGUGCUGUGGCAGUGCGUCGUUCCUUUUUAUCUUACACUGUCUCUCUCUCUCCACCUUUCGUUGUCGCACGUCGAAAACUUGCGUGAAAUUGCGGUAGACGCUCGCGCCAUUACGUGUCCCCCCGUACCUCGUUCGUUCUUCGGCGAAAACAAUUGUAUUUACGGUUAUUCUUUACGAAUUUUGAGCACGAGUUAUUCUCGCGAUGUCUGUGAGUGAUAUGUGAGUUGUGUUCUCGUCGUUCUUCCCGACUGACACUGUUCAUCCUUCUCGGAGGGAGGGAAAGAGUGACAAGCCGAAUAAACAUCAAGCAUCGCGAAUAAGAUGCUUCGCGGGACGUGGUCGCAGUGGUCGACGCUGCUGUUGUUGUUGCUGGGUACGCGGCUACUCUUCGUGGUCGCUCAAUGCGGAUCGUUCGCUCA